rnacentral:lncRNA from 1 species
GCGUUAGGUCCCUACAAACACUGUGUCAUUCCACCCACGUGAGAUCCCUACACUGUGUCAUUCCACCGGCCUGAGGUCCCUACAAACACUGUCAUUCCACCCGCCUGAGGUCCCUACAAACACUGUGUCACUCCACCCGUGUGAGGUCCCUAAAAACACUGUGUCAUUCCACCCAUGUGAGAUCCCUACACUGUGUCAUUCCACCCACGUGAGAUCCCUACACCGUGUCAUUCCACCCGCCUGAGGUCCCUACAAACACUGUGUCAUUCCACCUGCCUGAGGUCCCUACAAACACUGUGU